AGCGAACGCUGGCGGCAGGCCUAACACAUGCAAGUCGAACGACGCCUUCGGGCUUAGUGGCGGAAGGGUGAGUACCACGUGGGGACGUACCUUUUGGUUCGGAAUAACGCAGCGCAAUUCGCGCCAAUACCGAAUGAGCCCUUAGGGGUAAAGAUUGAUCGCCGAAAGCUCGGACCGCGUUGGAUUAGGUAGUUGGUGUGGUAAAGGCGCACAAAGCAUACGAUCCAUAGCUGGUCUGAGAGGAUGACCAGCCACACUGGGACUGAGACACGGCCCAGACUCCUGCGGGAGGCAGCAGUGGGGAAUCUUGCGCAAUGGGCGAAAGCCUGACGCAGCCAUGCCGCGUGAAUGAUGAAGGUCUUAGGAUUGUAAAAUUCUUUUACCAGGGACGAUAAUGACGGUACCUGGAGAAAAAGCCCCGGCUAACUUCGUGCCAGCAGCCGCAGUAAGAC
rnacentral:rRNA from 1 species